UAAAGUUGUUGCAGUUAAAAAGCUUGUAGUUGAAUUUCGGGACCAAUAUGUUGGUCGUGCCUUGGUACGUACUAAUUUAUUGAUUUCUUCCUUCUGACGAAUCAUGAUGUCAUUAAUUUGGUGUCUUGGGGAAUCAGGACUGUUACUUUGAAAAAAUUAGAGUGUUUAAAGCAGGCUCACGCUUGAAUACAUUAGCAUGGAAUAAUGAAAUAGGACGUUUGAUUCUAUUUUGUUGGUUUCUAGGAUCGACGUAAUGAUUAAUAGGG
rnacentral:rRNA from 1 species